UACGGAGGAUGCGGGCGUUAUCCGGAUUUAUUGGGUUUAAAGGGUGCGUAGGCGGGAUGCCAAGUCAGCGGUAAAAAUGCGGUGCUCAACGCCGUCGAGCCGUUGAAACUGGCGUUCUUGAGUGGGCGAGAAGUAUGCGGAAUGCGUGGUGUAGCGGUGAAAUGCAUAGAUAUCACGCAGAACUCCGAUUGCGAAGGCAGCAUACCGGCGCCCUACUGACGCUGAGGCACGAAAGCGUGGGUAUCGAACAGG
rnacentral:rRNA from 1 species